AAAAUUUAAAUUUGAUAUUAUAAAUUUUUAAAUUUUAAAUUUGAUAUUUUAUAUAUUUUAAAUUUAAAUUUGGUCCUAAAUUUAAAAUUUGAAAUUUAUAAAUUUGAAUAUUUAAAUUUUAAAUUUUAAUUUUAAUUUUAAAAUUUAAAAGUUUAAAUUUUUAAUUUAAAAUUAUAAGUUUAAAAUUUAAAAAUUUAAAUUCAAUUAUAGGGGUAAUAUUAUUAUUUUCUAUUUAUAACUAUCAACUAUUUAUUUUAUUCUCAAUAACCAUCCAAAUACAAUUUUUUUAGUUCUAGCUUGUACUCAUAUUUUCAUCCAAACAAAAAAAUAUCCUUAUUCUUAUAAAAAUUCAUACUUGUACCUAUCCUCGAUAUAGCUAGUUUCUACUAAUUUCCAAAUC
rnacentral:lncRNA from 1 species